rnacentral:rRNA from 2 species
CUGGGCGGCUAUACAUGCAGUCGAGCGGACGGAUGGGAGCUUGCUCCCUGAAGUCAGCGGCGGACGGGUGAGUAACACGUGGGCAACCUGCCCUGCAGACUGGGAUAACACCGAGAAAUCGGUGCUAAUACCGGAUAACUUCCGAGACCUCAUGGUCUUGGGAUAAAAGAUGGCUCCGGCUAUCACUGCAGGAUGGGCCCGCGGCGCAUUAGCUAGUUGGUGAGGUAACGGCUUACCAAGGCGACGAUGCGUAGCCGACCUGAGAGGGUGAUCGGCCACACUGGGACUGAGACACGGCCCAGACUCCUACGGGAGGCAGCAGUAGGGAAUCUUCCGCAAUGGACGAAAGUCUGACGGAGCAACGCCGCGUGAGUGAUGAAGGAUUUCGGUUCGUAAAGCUCUGUUGUUAGGGAAGAACAAGUGCCGUUCGAAUAGGGCGGCACCUUGACGGUACCUAACCAGAAAGCCACGGCUAACUACGUGCCAGCAGCCGCGGUAAUACGUAGGUGGCAAGCGUUGUCCGGAAUUAUUGGGCGUAAAGCGCGCGCAGGCGGUCUUUUAAGUCUGAUGUGAAAGCCCACGGCUCAACCGUGGAGGGUCAUUGGAAACUGGGAGACUUGAGUACAGAAGAGGAGAGUGGAAUUCCACGUGUAGCGGUGAAAUGCGUAGAUAUGUGGAGGAACACCAGUGGCGAAGGCGACUCUCUGGUCUGUAACUGACGCUGAGGCGCGAAAGCGUGGGGGAGCAAACAGGAUUAGAUACCCCUGGUAGUCCACGCCCGUAAAACGAUGAGUGCUAGGGUGUUAGGGGUUUUCGAUGCCCUUUAGUGCCGAAGUUAACACAUUAAGCACUCCGCCUGGGGAGUACGACCGCAAGGUUGAAACUCAAAGGAAUUGACGGGGGCCCGUGC